UUGUACUUGGACCACCUUUUGUUAGCACUUCUGUCUUAUUUGUGUCUCACUAAAUCAGUCGUGCACACAGUCCUGUCCAACUUUUAUCUGUGGAUAUGUUGCUUUGCUGUUUGUAUGCACAAAAAAACAGCGUU